rnacentral:rRNA from 1 species
AAUAGAUACCCCGGUAGUCCACGCUGUAAACGAUGAGAACUAGAUGUUGGUAGGCAUGACCUAUUAGUAUCGAAGCUAACGCGAUAAGUUCUCCGCCUGGGGAGUACGGCCGCAAGGUUAAAACUCAAAGGAAUUGACGGGGGCCCGCACAAGCGGUGGAGCAUGUGGUUUAAUUCGAUGCAACGCGAAGAACCUUACCUACCCUUGACAUGCCAGGAAAUUUGCAGAGAUGCGAAGGUGCCGAAAGGAACCUGGACACAGGUGCUGCAUGGCUGUCGUCAGCUCGUGUUGUGAGAUGUUGGGUUAAGUCCCGUAACGAGCGCAACCCUUAUCCUUAAUUACCAUCAUUAAGUUGGGGACUCUAAGGAGACUGCUGGUGAUGAACCGGAGGAAGGCGGGGACGGCGUCAAGUCAUCAUGGCCUUUAUGGGUAGGGCUACACACGUGCUACAAUGGUCGGUACAGAGGGUUGCGAACUCGCGAGAGGUAGCCAAUCCCGGGAAAGCCGAUCACAGUCCGGAUUGGAGU